AAACUCUCUCCUCCAAGCUCGAUUUCUCCACCACCACCUUCCUGGUCCACCUUCUCCUUUCUACCCCAUUUCUCCCGUUCACUCACCUCGUUCGACUCCUUUUCCUAUUUUUCCCUUUUUAAUCUUGAAAUUGAAAUCUCAACAAACUUGUUUGUAACUCAGUUGAGUUAUUAUGGUAUCGGCGAUCUCUGAGCGUGCCGAGCUCGCUAAGUCAUGUGCCUCCGGAGAUUGGUCAAAGGCUAUUCGAGUUCUCGACUCGCUUCUCGCUCAGUCAUGCACCAUUCAAGAUAUCUGCAAUAGAGCAUUUUGUUACAGUCAAUUGGAGCUCCAUAAGCAUGUCAUUAAGGACUGUGACAAGGCGCUUCAGCUCGAUCCUAAUCUUCUUCAAGCUUAUAUUCUCAAAGGUCGUGCGUUUUCAUCUUUGGGAAGGAAAGAGGAUGCUCUUCUGGUAUGGGAACAGGGCUAUGAGCAUGCUUUGCAUCAGUCUGCGGAUCUGAAACAGUUGCUGGAACUUGAAGAGCUUCUUAAGUUUGGAAAACAAGACAGAAACAAUGGUCAUGAAAAUAAUGUGACAGAAUCUAGGUCAUCCAUGAAUGUAACUGAAUCAUCUAAGAUCCAGAAUAAAUCGAGUGAUUUCUCAAGUUCAAGUGGUGAGUCUGGCGAUGCAUCUCAGAGCUGCAGCAAGUUUCGAGAUAAGUUUGAAGUGCUGAAUGGGAUAAAAGAUGAAGCUGGAGGGAAGUCACCAAUACCUAUACCUGAAUCAGGAUCCUUCGUAAACGGAAAACCAACAGAAAAUUAUAUAAAUCAGAAUAGAUUAGGAGAUAAACAUUAUUUAUGUAGUGAGUCAAGAGAUACAUCUGAGUUCUACUGCAAGUCGGGGAAUAAUUUUGGCAUGCAAAAUGACUUAAGUGAGAAAGCUGAAGGGGGUAAAAAGGUUGAUAGCCCAAUGAAUGUAACUCAUGAUAUUCUUGAUAAACCAAGCCAUAGUUCUAAUUCCUACAAUAGCUUAAGCAAUACAUCAGAAUUCCCAAGUAAAUUUUCUAAGCUACCUAGCAGCUUGGGUGAAACAAGUCACAUCCGCAGCAAAUCGAGUAAUGAGACUGACGUGCCUAAUGAAGCAAGUGAUGAAGCCAAUAAAAGUAAAAAGUUUUGUGUAACUAAGAUUUCGAAGACCAAGUCCGUGACUGUGGAUUUCAGAUUGUCACGGGGUAUAGCACAGGUCAAUGAAGGGAGAUAUGCUUCUGCCAUAUCUAUUUUUAACCAGAUACUGAGAGAAUAUCCUACUUAUCCCGAGGCACUAAUUGGUAGAGGGACAGCAUUUGCAUUCCAGAGAGAACUGGAAGCUGCUAUUGCUGACUUUUCAAAGGCUAUUGAAUCAAAUCCAUUAGCUGGUGAAGCAUGGAAGCGAAGAGGGCAGGCCCGAGCUGCAUUAGGGGAAUCUGUAGAGUUACCCACUGGAGGGCUUUAUUUUCUUCCUCAGGCCAUUCAAGAUUUGACUAAGGCAUUAGAGUUUGAACCAAACUCACCAGAUAUAUUACAUGAAAGAGGAAUUGUUAAUUUUAAGUUUAAGGAUUUUGAUGCUGCUGUGGAAGAUCUAUCUGCAUGUGUGAAGCUUGAUAAGGAUAACAAAUCUGCCUACACAUACUUAGGUUUGGCAUUUUCUUCAAUUGGUGAAUAUAAAAAGGCUGAGGAGGCACAUUUAAAAUCUAUCCAACUUGAUCGGAGUUUCCUUGAGGGAUGGGCUCAUCUGACACAGUUCUACCAAGAUUUAGCAAACUCAUCAAAAGCUUUCGAAUGCAGUCAACAAGUUAUCCAAAUUGAUGCAAGGUUUGCAAAAGCCUAUUACUUGCGUGGGCUACUGCUUCAUGGCAUGGGAGACCACAGGAAGGCUAUCAAGGAUUUAUCCAUUGGCUUGAGUAUUGAAAAUUCAAACAUAGAAUAUUUAUAUUUACGGGGUUCCUGCUACCAUGCUAUUGGAGAAUAUGGAGAGGCGGUGAAGGAUUAUGAUGCAACUCUAGAUAUUGAACUAGACUCAAUGGAGAAAUUUGUGCUUCAAUGCUUAGCCUUCUAUCAGAAGGAGCUUGCUUUGUAUACAGCUUCUAAAAUUAACAGUGAUUUCUGUUGGUUUGAUAUUGAUGGAGACAUUGAUCCUCUUUUCAAGGAGUACUGGUGCAAAAGAUUGCACCCCAAGAAUGUGUGCGAGAAGGUUUACCGCCAACCUCCUCUUCAUGAUUCUCUGAAAAGGGGUAAGCUGAGAAAGCAAGAUUUUGCCAUUACAAAACCAAAGACUGCUCUUCUAUUGGCAGCUGAUUCUAUUGGCAAGAAGAUUCAAUAUGAUUGCCCUGGCUUCUUACCCAAUAGGCGUCAGCAUCGCAUGGCAGGACUAGCAGCUAUUGAAAUUGCACAAAAGGUUUCAAAAGCCUGGCGUUCUUUGCAGGCCGAAUGGAAACAUUCUAAUAAAAACAUGUCAAAAUAUGGUAAGAGAACUCGAAGAAGAAUCAACUUGGCCAGUCAGAAUAGAGGUGGCGCCGGUUGCAGUACAAGCAGUUCCUCAGAAACAUCAACUUUGUACGGCAUUACAGAAGAUAGAUCUCCCGGUCGUUAUAAGAUGACGUGGCAAGACGUUUACUCUAUCGCUGUCAAAUGGAGACAAAUUUCUGAGCCCUGUGACCCAGUUGUGUGGGUUAACAAGUUAAGUGAAGAGUUUAACUCUGGAUUUGGGUCUCACACACCAUUGAUUCUUGGACAAGCAAAAGUUGUUCGCUACUACCCAAAUUUUGAAAGAACAUUAAAUGCUGCAAAGACAAUCAUGAAGGAUAAACUGUAUGUGUGCAGCAAGGCGGAUGAAAUCAUUGAUAUAUCCAAGGAUGAGAAAUUACAGGAUAUCAUGGAUGCAAAAACUUGUUCUGAUCUUUACAAAGUGGUUGGUGAGGACUUCUGGUUGGCUACAUGGUGCAACAGUACAGCAACUGAGGGGAAGCAGCUUGAAGGGACAAGGAUUACCCUAGUGAAGAUGGGUGAGCAUGGAUUUGACUUUGCAAUAAGAACACCAUGUACACCUUCUAGAUGGGAUGAGUAUGAUGCCGAAAUGGCAAUGGCUUGGGAGGCUGUGUGCAAUGCUUAUUGCAGUGAAAACUAUGGGUCUACUGAUCUUGAUGUACUUGAAAAUGUUAGAGAUGCAAUUUUGAGGAUGACAUAUUAUUGGUACAAUUUUAUGCCACUGUCUAGAGGCACUGCUGCAGUUGGAUUUAUCGUUUUGCUUGGAUUGCUUCUUGCUGCUAAUAUGGAGUUUGAGGAGAAAAUUCCAAAAGGGGUACAGGUGGAUUGGGAAGCAAUUCUGAACUUUGACCCAAGCUCUUUUGUGGAUUCUGCUAAGAGUUGGUUGUAUCCAUCACUCAAGGUCACAACAUCUUGGAAAGAUUAUCCAGAUGUGGCAUCAACUUUUGCAACAACAGGAUCGGUUGUAGCUGCUCUCAGCUCUUACGAUGAUUGAGCUCCUUCAAAUCCUUAAGAGGUGAAAAUAUGAUGGUAAGGCCCCUGGCAUUUGAAGAGAGCUUUUGGAAUGGACUUAUAAAACAGAUAACUGGAGUUGAAAUUGAUGGUACCAGUAAAAGGGGUCUGUCGUUCAGGUCUCUUUCUUUUUGUAACAUUGCACAUGCAGACAGCAGCUGGUCUUUCAUGGAAAGUGUUCGAGUGGACCCAUACAGACGAGUUCAAGUUGCUCAAGAUGCCUUUGCAUACACACUGACUUAAAAGUCUUGUAAGCAUUCCUCUUUGUUGUAUGAUUGUGUUGUACAGCAAUUGUAGAAUAAUAUAGUUGCAAAUUUCUUUACAUCCUUAAUCCAGUUCUCCUGACACCCAAAUUAAAUCCGUGCUCGUUAGAUUCAUUUCAUUGGAGAUAUCUGUCAUAUCCAUGCAUUGCAAUUGUGUUCCAUUACAUUAGCUCGACGAAAGAACUUACAUUACUGAGGUAGUCUAUCAUUUGUAGUAUAUACUUUGGGAUUCUGUCAAA